rnacentral:rRNA from 1 species
AUACGUAGGGGGCGAGCGUUGUCCGGAAUGAUUGGGCGUAAAGGGCGCGUAGGCGGCGCGGUAAGUCUGGAGUGAAAGUCCUGCUUUCAAGGUGGGAAUUGCUUUGGAUACUGCCGCGCUUGAGUGCAGGAGAGGUUAUCGGAAUUCCCGGUGUAGCGGUGAAAUGCGUAGAGAUCGGGAGGAACACCAGUGGCGAAGGCGGGUAACUGGACUGCAACUGACGCUGAGGCGCGAAAGUGUGGCGAGCAAACAGGAUUAGAUACCCUGGUAGUCCACACUGUAAACGAUGAAUGCUAGGUGUAAGAGGUAUCGACCCCUUUUGUGCCGGAGUCAACACAAUAAGCAUUCCGCCUGGGGAGUACGGCCGCAAGGUUGAAACUCAAAUGAAUUGACGGGG